UCUCUGUAUGUUGCUUUCCUCUCCUGUCAGUUCUGCCAGUUAUAUUGAGUGUAAAAGCCUGGUUCCAGUUAUCUGUCCCACAUUUAGCAACCAUGCUCUCAUUGCUCUUGAGCUGCAGCAGAGAGGAUGGGACCAAGUUGGUCGAAGAAUCUCUAGCUCCUCUGUAGCUCAGCACUCUCUAGGUAAAAUACUGAACAAAAAAAGAAGGGGAGCCUGCCAGUGAAGAAGUCCAAACAGAGAAGGCAGUGGAUAUUCUACUCUUUCCAAGUCAUUACUUCACUCAGCACAGCCUGUUAUUUGGAGGGCCCAUGGAAAGCUGUCCAGGCAGGGAAGCAUGCUGUUGCUGAGAGGUCUGCCUCUAUCCGUCAGUAAUGGGUGCUUGUGUGAGCAGAGCAUUUGCAAGGAAUUUUACAAGGCUGCAAAGUCCUGCCUGCUCUAAAAUUAAAGAUCUGAAUUCAGCAGAGCAAAUGGAUAUUACCUUGACUUGAAAGUGUUGAAAUUUCUGGAACUUGCGGUCUUGCUUGUAGUAUCUACUGAUGGAUGACAUAUAUUUCAAAGCAAAAAUUCACUCAUCCCUACCUGAAUGGGCUCCUCGGUCACGGGGAUCAUGACCUCUUAGGAGUGAUACUGAAGGAAGCUUACCAUGGGUUGGCUGUCUGCUCACAGCUUCUGCAAGACAGGUGCUCAGCUCUUUGCAGGGACAAAGUUGCUCCUGCUUGUUGCUGUUCUGGCACACCAACUCCAUAUAAAGCCAAGAGAGGAGCUCCAAAGGUAUUACAGUAAAGGAGAUCAGUCUCUGAUCUUUCACAUCUUCAGUAUAAAACAAGUCUGAAAUCUCCUGAGUAACGCUACUUAAUUUAACCCAGAAUCUAGUAACCAGUAGCUGCAACCCUUGUCCUCAUCUGACAGAGAUUUGCCACUUACUGUAAUGAAGACAAAAAACAUCUUUUACUGCUUUCGUUGCCUGCAGUCCAAUACAUUGUGAAGAGCUUGAUCAUAGAGCAGAAGCGUAUUUUCUAUUCCAUUUGCAUCAGUGAAAUAACUGUUCUUUCCUCGGAUUAAAGCACAGCACAGGAGGUCAAAGGUCAUGCUUUGACCUUUCGUUUGACUGGUCUCCAUAAAAGAACAUAAUCAUCGAGCUGGAAAUCCCCUCCUCAACUUUUCUCGGUCCCCCGUGGGUCGCUGCGGCCGCCUCCUUCACGCAGGCGGGUGCCCGGUGCUGGCCAUGGUGCUGAAGCGCCUCUGCCGCCCUGCCAGCAUCCCAAACCUCCGCGGGAUGGCUUCUUCGGGAUUGCUUCUUGCGAUCAGCCUCUACAGGGACAAAGUGCAGAGGGAUAGUUUCUACUGGCCAGAAUUUAGAUAUCGCUCCGAGUUUCACCCUGUGGUAAUCAGGAGAUGGCUACAGCUACCCGAUACCACAGCGCGACUGGGAGCAAAGUGGAUUCAGAUGUCAGGGUCUGUUACACUCAGCACAAAGCUGCUCUGUGUAAAGAAUGCUGUAAAAUAAAACACUUAUAAAAUACUAUUUUGUGGUUUUGUUUUGCUUUUUAAAAAAGCA
ensembl:lncRNA